GUAGGGGGCAAGCGUUAUCCGGAUUUACUGGGUGUAAAGGGAGCGUAGGUGGCAAGGCAAGUCAGAUGUGAAAACCCGGGGCCCAACCCCGGGAGUGCAUUUGAAACUGUCUGGCUAGAGUGCAGGAGAGGUAAGUGGAAUUCCUAGUGUAGCGGUGAAAUGCAUAGAUAUUAGGAGGAACACCAGUGGCGAAGGCGGCUUACUGGACUGUAACUGACGUUGAGGCUCGAAAGCGUGGGGAGCA
rnacentral:rRNA from 1 species